UAAAAGGGCCUUUGCUGUCAGUAGCACUUCAUGAGCUAUCAUGUAGCAGAAUCGCAAUCAAGAGAUUUUGGAGGCAUAAUGUUUAGAAGUUGUGGCAGCUAGUGCUCAUUUAGCCUGGCGCCCUG
rnacentral:snRNA from 1 species